CGAUGUUCAUAGAUCCAUUCAUGGUUUCACUGCCCCUGCGGGAAAUCAGAAAAGGCCUUGAACAGGAAGUUCACACAAAUAAACGUCUCUUCCUGCUGCAAUGAUUUCCAUUCUCCCAGAAACUAAGUUUAGUCAGACCUUAGGAUUCACCUAGCAGCCUCAUCGUCUUCCAGGAAAGGAAGCCCGAGCCCAGAGAGAUGAAGCGACGCGCCCAGGGUCAUACAGCUGGCACCAUCAAUUCCUUUAGCAGAACUGGGACUGGCUUCCUGACCCACAGGAGGUGACUAUCUGUAAGCUCAGGCUGCAUGGCAAAUACAGCAUACUACCUUGAUUGACCCACCAAAAUCUUGACCAAAACCUCAGAAGAGGUACUACACAAGAAUCAGCUAAUCUGCCCCUAAAUUCCUCACAGAAACUGUGAGAUAAUAAAUGCUCAUUCUUUUUCAAG